GACGAACGCUGGCGGCGUGCCUAAUACAUGCAAGUAGAACGCACAGUUUAUACCGUAGCUUGCUACACCAUAGACUGUGAGUUGCGAACGGGUGAGUAACGCGUAGGUAACCUGCCUGGUAGCGGGGGAUAACUAUUGGAAACGAUAGCUAAUACCGCAUAAUAUUAAUUAUUGCAUGAUAAUUAAUUGAAAGGUGCAAUUGCACCACUACCAGAUGGACCUGCGUUGUAUUAGCUAGUAGGUGAGGUAACGGCUCACCUAGGCGACGAUACAUAGCCGACCUGAGAGGGUGAUCGGCCACACUGGGACUGAGACACGGCCCAGACUCCUACGGGAGGCAGCAGUAGGGAAUCUUCGGCAAUGGACGAAAGUCUGACCGAGCAACGCCGCGUGAGUGAUGAAGGUUUUCGGAUCGUAAAGCUCUGUUGUAAGAGAAGAACGGGUGUGAGAGUGGAAAGUUCACACUGUGACGGUAUCUUACCAGAAAGGGACGGCUAACUACGUG
rnacentral:rRNA from 1 species